rnacentral:tRNA from 1 species
AAAGAUUUAAGUUAAGUAAAAACUGAUAACCUUCAAAGUUAUAAAUAGAAAAAUUUUUCUAAUCUUUA